UUUUUGGAUUUACCCUGUUUUACAUAACAUUGGACCUGCCCAGGCACACAGUUGUAAGUCUGAAACAUUUAGGUUAGCAAGCUGGUGGAAAUCACAGAGAAUCUACUUGAUGUUUUAGGAAUUUUAGAGAUAUUGUUUUGUUUAAGAUGUUUAAGUAUAGUUAUUGUAAAUAAGAAUGACAAGAAGAAUCACCUUGGACAAGAAGAUAUACAACAAAAUCAGGCUAGUAGUGGGACCAGUUCUUACUUUGAGAUGCCAGGUGAAUAAUGAUAUGCAGUAUUGAGCCUGAAAAGGUGAACACAGCCACAUGAAGUUUCUCCGAGGAAAUAGAAGCAGAGCACUGAAACAGACAUCAAUAAAAGAAAUAGUAGUUUGAAUAAUCAGAAACAUUUGAUCAAAUUUAUGAUUUGAACAGUUCCUCACCGACAGACUUCCAGCAAAAUAAUUGUAUAAAUAAAGUGUUUGAUUCAAGAAAAACCAGUAAAAAACAAAAACUUGCUGCUAGAAAUGAAUAUUGUUUUUGUUAUAGUGAAUGUAAGAUGAUUGAACUGAAGGAUAUGUAUGUUGAAUUUUGUAUUUUGCUCAUUUAU